rnacentral:rRNA from 1 species
UACGUAGGGGGCAAGCGUUGUCCGGAUUUAUUGGGCGUAAAGAGCGUGUAGGCGGCCAGGUAGGUCCGUUGUGAAAACUCGAGGCUCAACCUCGAGACGCCGAUGGAAACCAUCUGGCUAGAGUCCGGAAGAGGAGAGUGGAAUUCCCGGUGUAGCGGUGAAGUGCGCAGAUAUCGGGAAGAACACCCGUGGCUAAGGCGGCUCUCUAGUACGGUACUGACGCUGAGACGCGAAAGCGUGGGGAGCGAACAGG